CAAAAGCCACGUUCCACCUGGGAGGCACAAUUUCAGUGUUGUUUGUCCAUCUUGCCCUUCUCUCAAAGCAAACAUCAUUUUCUCUCGUUUCUCUCAACACAACAUCUAUUUCUCUUUUUUGUUCUGUAAAUCCAAUCAAGAACAUCAACCCUAAUUGGAAUCUUCUUGAUUUAGGGAUGGAUGUGAAUUACAGAACCAUCCAUAUGACGUAGAUGGUUCAAGAUUGACCCAGCCGAGAUCGCGUCUUCGUCUCUCUCAUGUGCCGUAGAUGGUUCAAGAUUGACUAUGAGACGAGAGAACAUGUCACCAUCGCUCUCUGCUACAAAUCCACUCCCGAUCGUUUCAGCUGUAGGAUUCGAAUCUGAUGUAUCUCAAGCUCAAAGGGAAGCCUCGUGCAACUAUUUUCAGUCUCAUCUCUGAGAACUGGGAGGGUUUGUCACUCCUUGGGUCAAUGAGAUAGUUGUAUCGCUCGAAGGCUUAAAUCUGUGCACUUUACUACUUUAGGCGAAUGAUUGUCAGUGACUUGGAUCUGGAUGUUUUGGCUAAGGCGAGGUUAGAUAAGCUUGAAGGUUUGAAGCUAGAUAAGUGCUCUGGGUUCUCUACUGAUGGGCUGUUGAGCAUCGUCAAACCCUGCAGAAAAGGGAAGAGGAAUGGAAAUCAUGUACAAACGCAGAGGAGGUUGGACAGGUGUUGGAUUCGAUGUGGAUGGUGGAAAUUGAGUAAGUUGAAUAUAUAUAUUACAAUACACACAUCCAAAAAGCUGCAUAUGUGUUAUAUGUGUUACAAAUAUGUUUUUUUUUUGUGCUUCUUGUUUUUCUUGUUCCCGUAAGAAUGUUUAACGAGUGUGUCAAAUUGUUAGUUUUAUUAAUGUACUUUGGUCUCACAAAUCCAUGAAAAUGGUUUCACC